ensembl:lncRNA
GCAGGACAAGACUGAAACAGUAAUUCAGGCCGGUCAUUUGCUGCUUUUACCCUGCGCGUUAUUUAGCCUUCACAAUACCCGGGCUGCCGUAAUUAUUGAGGCAGGAAAGGAAAAUCGCUUUACUGAGAUUAUUGGAUGUCUAGCAGUUAAAAAAAAAUUAAAAGAGAGAGAGAUGAGUUGCAUUUUAGUGACGCACAAGGAGACAGUCUCCAUCCUUAAAUGCGCCAAAGAUCUAUAUAAUCAUUUGUGAAUUUAUAUUUAUUAUUAACAUAUUUCAUUUUAAAUGUUAUUUUCAGCACCAAUGUGCAGCUAUAGAGACAACCCAUAAACUGGAAUUUAGUUUUCAAGUUAAUUCAUUUAUUCACGUGUUCGGGGUAAUGCAAAAACUCAGCAGAGAUGCAGAAAUGAGAGCGCAUACACAUGCAGGAUGAUUAGAGCACACCUUUUAAACAGAAGUUAAAACAGAAAAACUUCAACUAAAAAAAUAAAAAGCUAUAUACACGCAGACCAAGUGUUUUCUUCAUGCGUUACACACACACAUUUUUCAGCGUUUUACUUUUGUUAUUAUUAAAUGAUCUCUGUUUGUUCUCUACCUUUACUCCGAUCUCAUCGUCAAACACCAAGAGUAACUAAUCAGGCAGCCAGAGACAGAGAGGCAGGCUGCCCGCCUCAGCUGUGCUCGUCUUUGGGGUACGCACAGGUGACUGCCGCUGUGACCAAAGCUCACGGUGUCGCAGGUGAAGCAGUGCGCCUGGCGUGUGGCUCUGAGACUUUCCCCACUCCUGCUUUAAAUCACUGCCCGAGGGUAGCUGCUCACAGGAGGCCAAAACAACCUCAGAGCACCGGGUAAUGCUCCGGAUAGUCCCCUGUUUGGAGUGUAAGUGUAUCUCCAGGGUUGUUAAAGAAUACCAAACAGGUUUAUAACCAACUGAUGUUUGUGUUUUACUGCAGUGCAUUGUCUCCUUUUGUGUAAUUUUUCUACAUAGAAUAAAUAAAUAGCUAAUUUAAAAAUAAAUGAAUAAAUAAAAGAGGCUACCAGCACUGUUCCAUGAACCCCCUCCCAGCCCAUCAGUAGGUUUAUCCCUACGCUUACGGGAACUAGAACAGCAGCAGACUGCAGCCAUGGAUAAAAGUGGUUGGUGUGAUUAUUUGAGAAGAACACUGAAAUAAGGUAAUUUAACUCAUUAAAUCAGCUGUAUUAAGGUAAAAUUGAAAUCAGCCUUGUUUUCUGCUCUGCAGCUUUGAAGUUUACUUUGACUUUAAACUUUAAAGUUGUUUUUGCAUUAAAUUUCCUUAAGUGUUUUUUUCUGAAAUUCACUAAAAAUCGCUGUUAUCACCAGAUUUGUAAUUAACAGGUUUUAUGUCAGCACAUCAGUUUUCUGAAUCCUUGCCAAGUCAGCUAAUCUUAUCAAGAUCCAUUCAGGCCUCAGUGCUGCACAGAUUAAGCAAACAGCCUGAAGUCCACUUAGCAGCUGAUACGAAAACAUUGUUACAAUUAUGUUAGCAUACCUCGCCUAGCUUCAGGCACUUGAAGCUAACAUGCCAGCUAGUCUGUGAAUGCUGAGGGUUAGCAUGUAGCUAAUGUACCUUUGUUUGACCAAGAAGAUGUGCCAAACUUACCUCAAAACGUCUUCAAAAUGCCUUCAGACAACUUGCAAAGUACUUCUCCUCUGAAUUUAAAAAAAUAAGUAAAUAAAAACAAGUAGGGAGAAGUUUUUAAAUUGAUAAUUAUUAACAGUUUGUAUAUUCAGGCUAAACUCUGUAGCUUUGUAGAUGAGCAAUGCCACAAACUUACAAGAUAUAUGUAACAUAACAAAAUAAACAAUAGCAUUUGAAACUACAAGAAUCAAAUUUUUUCAACAUAUUAAUGACCACAAUUCAUUAUUGUUUUUGUUAGUUUUAUAUUACAGUUUGGCUGUUCUGAUAAUACAAUUUAUGUUUCCAUGGAAACUUUGACUUUAUUCAUCAUAUGUAAUUAAUUUUUAGGAGGGACCAAAACAUGAAAAUAACUCACUUUAAUGAUAUUAAGUGGAGAUGUUUGGUUAUGGACCCGUGUGUGUCUUUAAUGAAGCGACACUAAAUUAAACUAAACUAUACUAUAGGAACCAUGCAAUCACUGCACUCUGUAUAUCAAAGUAUUCUAGAGUCAAAUGUGAUGCCCUCUGUGUGACAGCUAAAGCUUGGGCCAGACUGAACCAGGCAAAAGGACAACAAUCCCAAACAGCAAAUCAACAGCAGAAUAACUGGAAUUAUUAGAAAAUAUUGGGUUUAAUAUUUAAUAUUGGGAGACGAAAACAGGGCGUUGUUGGAAUGCUACUACGCAAGUAACCCUGGCGGAAGGGGUUACAUGAAUAGGAUGAGGGACCUAUGGAUUCUUCGAUACCCAACAUCCACAAUGACGGCGAAACAACUAGUAGCUCAGUGUUCCAACAUUCGAAAGAAGGAACUGCUCUCACAGCUAGAGAUUGACGAGCAAAGGUGUACUCUCAGUGGCAAGGGAACAAUAACAGAACAGCACCACCAAGGCUGGAGACGGAGUAAUACUGGAAGAGCAUAUGGGAGAAGGACGCAACCCAUAACGGCAAUGCUCAGUGGCUAGUGGAUCUGAGGGCAGAUCAUAGUGACCUCCCUGAACAGGGUCCAGUAACCAUCACAGUGGCAGAUAUCCAAGAAAGGGUCUCCAGUAUGAAGAGUUGGACAGCACCAGGGCCCGACAUGGUUCACGCCUACUGGCUGAAGAAGCUGACUGCACUCCACG